AGAGACAGCAGCCGCCACGGUAAUACAGAGGGUGCGAGCGUUAAUCGGAUUUACUGGGCGUAAAGCGUGCGUAGGCGGCUUCUUAAGUCGGAUGUGAAAUCCCUGAGCUUAACUUAGGAAUUGCAUUCGAUACUGGGAAGCUAGAGUAUGGGAGAGGAUGGUAGAAUUCCAGGUGUAGCGGUGAAAUGCGUAGAGAUCUGGAGGAAUACCGAUGGCGAAGGCAGCCAUCUGGCCUAAUACUGACGCUGAGGUACGAAAGCAUGGGGAGCAAACAGGAUUAGAUACCCCCGUAGUCCCUGUCUCUUAUAC
rnacentral:rRNA from 1 species